CCAUGUGCUCCAGCAGCCGCUGGUCCGAGGAGGUGCUGCUGCUGCUGCUGAUGGAGCUGGGCCGCCCGCUGAAGGAGAUCCAGGGGUUUCCAAGAAUUUUCCAACUAUUGAAGCAUGACAAGCUUUUGUGAAGAAGGGAUGGAGAAAUUGCCAUGGAUGGAGGAAAGCUGAGCCUGCACUGGGAUUGGGUGUGUGUUUCCGAGUGAGAGCCGCGUUAUGGGUCAUGGGCAAAUGCAAUUUAACAAGGAAAGGACAGAAGAGGGAGACUCCCUGAAGAACAGCUUUUCCAGAAGGUUGCAUAAAAUCUUACUGGCCUUCAAAUCUGUCAGAUGGGUGCUUUUGAAAAUAAA